UACGUAGGCAGCGAGCGUUGUUCGGAGUUACUGGGCGUAAAGGGUGUGUAGGCGGUUCUUUAAGUUUGGUGUGAAAUCUCCCGGCUCAACCGGGAGGGUGCGCCGAAAACUGGGGGACUAGAGUGCGGGAUGGGAGAGUAGAAUUCCUGGUGUAGCGGUGAAAUGCGCAGAUAUCAGGAGGAACACCAAUUGCGAAGGCAGCUCGCUGGGACGUUACUGACGCUGAGACGCGAAAGCGUGGGGAGCAAACAGG
rnacentral:rRNA from 1 species